rnacentral:rRNA from 1 species
GCGAAACCUCCUCUCCUUCCUCUUCCCUUUGUACGUUCGUUCUCAACCUACAGUACAGAAGAGAAAACCUACAGCCACCACACACACCCCUCCUCCAAUUCCUUCAACUCUCAACCGUUUCAAGUUCCCAAGAUAUGUAGAAGUGUGUCUUGAUCUACUCUUCCAAUCUCACCACUUGUCCUGCCCUCUCCCUUCUCUUUCUCUACAGAAACUCUCUCCAAAGAAACAGUGUUCCAUGGACGUCGGUCCUCGAUUAUGAUGAAGGAGACCAUCCCCGUCCAUCCAGUUGCGUCAAAAGGUUCUCCUUCAUGCGUUAAAUCCAUUAAGGGAAGAAAGAACGCGAUCCGUUCACCACACACGCAGAAUUUCGCAUGUCCGUCUACACUAUUCGUCGAGUUCUUUGCGUCGUUCUGUCAAACUCGGGAGUGGCGAGGUUGGACAUGGAAAGAAACAGGUUACCGAAGAAGGACUCAACAACGAAGAGUUCCAUGAAGACGAAGGUGAUGGCUACAACAACUAUGGCGAUCUGUAUGAGUGAGGUCACGUGGACUACAUCGACUGCGUGUGGCUGAGAUGGAGUGACUACGCAUUUUUUACUUUCCGCUGUUAUCUCUAUGUAAUUAAUGUCAUUAGACAUUUCCCUAUGUAUGCCUUGUGGCAAGAUUUAUUAAACUUGUAAUACAUUUGUGCAUUGUGCAAUGAUACCAUUUCGCUGUGUUGUCAACAA